rnacentral:rRNA from 1 species
CCUACGGGAGACAGCAGUGAGGAAUAUUGGUCAAUGGACGAGAGUCUGAACCAGCCAAGUAGCGUGAAGGAUGACUGCCCUAUGGGUUGUAAACUUCUUUUAUAUGGGAAUAAAAUGUUCCACGUGUGGGAUUUUGUAUGUACCAUAUGAAUAAGGAUAGGCUAACUCCGUGCCAGCAGCCGCGGUAAUACGGAGGAUCCGAGCGUUAACCGGAUUUAUUGGGUUUAAAGGGAGCGUAGGUGGAUUGUUAAGUCAGUUGUGAAAGUUUGCGGCUCAACCGUAAAAUUGCAGUUGAAACUGGCAGUCUUGAGUAAAGUAGAGGUGGGCGGAAUUCGAGGUGUAGCGGUGAAAUGCUUAGAUAUCACGAAGAACACCGAUUGCGAAGGCAGUUCACUGGACUUCAACUGACACUGAGGCUCGAAAGUGUGGGUAUCAAACAGGAUUAGAUACCCGAGUAGUC